rnacentral:snoRNA from 1 species
CCAUGACCAGUUGGGAAAUGGAAUAGGCCUAUUCCCUCUGGUCCUCUCACAAUGUCCCAUGACAGAGCAAACUAUGGCCCAAAACCAUUGCCCUGCCUCUGUGCUGUAAACUGAGGGUGGAGUGCACAGUG